AUUGAACGCUGGCGGCAGGCCUAACACAUGCAAGUCGAGCGGAUGAAGGGAGCUUGCUCCUGGAUUCAGCGGCGGACGGGUGAGUAAUGCCUAGGAAUCUGCCUGGUAGUGGGGGAUAACGUCCGGAAACGGGCGCUAAUACCGCAUACGUCCUGAGGGAGAAAGUGGGGGAUCUUCGGACCUCACGCUAUCAGAUGAGCCUAGGUCGGAUUAGCUAGUUGGUGGGGUAAAGGCCUACCAAGGCGACGAUCCGUAACUGGUCUGAGAGGAUGAUCAGUCACACUGGAACUGAGACUCGGUCCAGACUCCUACGGGAGGCAGCAGUGGGGAAUAUUGGACAAUGGGCGAAGGCCUGAUCCAGCCAUGCCGCGUGUGUGAAGAAGGUCUUCUGAUUGUAAAGCACUUUAAGUUGGGAGGAAGGGCAGUAAGUUAAUACCUUGCUGUUUUGACGUUACCAACAGAAUAAGCACCGGCUAACUUCGUG
rnacentral:rRNA from 1 species